rnacentral:lncRNA from 1 species
UGUUCAGAGAGCAGAUGAGUGCCAUUGCCAGAGCAAUACUUUGCAGUGUGCCUUUAACUGCCCUGUGCCUUACAGGCAGCAUGGUGAGUAUUGUUCUUUGCAGUGCAACAAGAAAACAGGAAGGGGCCUCUGGGAGUUUGGAUGAGUCUCCUGCAAGCAGAUCUUGGUGUCUGAGUUUCACAGGGGGAUCUAAAACUCAGUAUGUUAAAAGAAGUGUGCAUACACAUGUAUACACAUAUGGAUUUCUUAAUGUAGAUAUACUUGAACACUGUAACUAGAAGAAAUUGGCAGUUAAGAUCCAUUCUGAGCAAGAGGGACCAAGCGUUCCCUUUGCCCAACUCUCUCGACCAUGUAUUUUGCAUGUAAAUCGGGCUCUUAAGUUUGGAUUUUCCUAUGAAUCAUUUGGUUAAUCCUCAGCACAGCCCUUAAACUAGCUUUACUCACAUCAGUGUGGCUGGUGAAUAGAAACUGGGCAUGCAGCUCAUUGUGCUUCAGGUGUGCCUGAGCCACUCACCGGUGUUGCUCCAGUGGCUGCAGCAGUGUGAGGCACCUGUGUGGCACAGCCAGUCCCCAAAGAACUGGAAACAUGGGAGGGGUGGGAUGGGAGAGACAGGGCUAAAAUGAUGUUGGAUUGAAUAACAGCAGCACAGCCACAUCAGCAUUCCAUCUUGGCUGGCCUACUUCUUCCCAGCAUCAUUCUGUGGUUUUUCAAAGAUGCAUGGCAAAUGCUUAGGUUGCCUACUCACCAAACAACAACAGAACAGUAGAGAACCUGCUUAUGCCCAUAAACCUUAGCGAGAAGUCAGUCCUUCCAGCACACUGUACCACUUGACCUCUGGGCUGUAACUCUGCCUCCCAGUUUGCCAGUUGCCUUCCUGUUCUUCAUAAACCUCUUGUGUCAAUGACUGGCGCUUAGCUGGAGCUUAUGGGAUGUGGAUAUUGCUCAUCACCAACACAGAGAGCUGUCUGAUAAUGUCUUGGCUGCUGGGAGGAACAGCUGCAAGGGAGCACGGGAGAAUCUCUCUGCUAGAAGAAGAAUAUGAAAAUGCAUCGUGUUAAAAAUCCUGUGGAAUUACUGUGGGGGAGAGUUCAUAAAUUACUUGGGUGAAACGAAAGCCUAUUUUUUAAGUGAUGCUUUAAUAACGGUUGGACAGGAUGGCCUUUGGUCACCUCCCUGUAGUUCUUCUAACUUUGCCUCCAUUGUUUUUGCUGGGGCUGCAAGGGUGUUGGAGCAAAGAAUGUGGCUCUGUGAGUACUGCAGUUUCAUUACUGCUGAAAUGCAGCCAUCUCUGGGACAGAAUGCAGAGCACACUCGUGCCAGCAAACUCUGGGGUUUAAUGGGCAUGUGGUGCCAGAGAAUGUUACCCUGGCUGUGUGCCAAUUAGCUGUGAACUUCUCUAGAAAUUUGUCCUAAAGGGAAAGAAAUGUCAUCUGGUUAAUCUAGGAGGGUGCUUUGCUUUCUAGGAGGAAGCAAAGUUCUUGUCUGUUCUGCUGCUUGGACUGAAAGGGUUCAAUUGGUAGCUGGAAGGCUCCAUUGUUCCAACAAGAGAGUGUUUACCAGGUCAGAAUGUGCUUUGGAUCAUGAGAGCAGCAAGGAGACAACAUCUCCAACACUAAAGAAAAAUGUCUGUUAUCUCUGAGACAGAGCUGUGUGAGACAUCUUUAUUGUUCUUUAUCCUUCAGUGUUAUUUUUGCUUAGAAUUUCUCUGUGCUCAGUGAUGUAGUAAUGUUGAGUGGGAAUCCUUGCCUGCCAGAAUAGCUCCUUCAGACAUUGCAUAAAUGUUUCUUCCCCUGCAAACUGUGCAAAUUCUGUAUCUCCUUGUCUAUUCAAACAACUCAGCCCGAGAUUUUUACACUGAUAAUUAUCAGUUCAUCAUCAACUUCUGACGUAGCUUCCUUGCAGUGCUGCAUCUGAGCCUCUCUCCAUUUCACCUUCUUGUUCUAUAGCCACUUAUUAAUCAAAGCUGUUUAAUGUGAGCUUUAAUUGCAGAGUUGUCUGGAACUUAACUCCAGACUUUGCUCCCCCGAGUCUUUUUUACUUUCCAUGUUUUCUUCAUUGUUGAGGAAAACUCUCAAUCACUUUUCUGCCUCUCUUCCUCAUACAGCUUAUGUUGAAUUACUGCCGUUUCCUAUCAUAUAAGGACGUUCUUUGACUCUCUUCUCAUUUGUCUGCCACUCUCUCUUAUUGGUCUCUCUCUCUUCCAUGCUGUUGGCCCAAAUCUUUUCAUUUGUUUAUAAAAUGUGGCCCUUCCUUUAUCUUUCUUUUUUUUUUUUUCUUUUUUUCCCAUUUGAUAACUGUUUUGAGGGUCAAAAUCUGAAAUCUGCCUUUGCUUUUCUAAGCUGAGGACACUAACUCAAUCUAAAGCAAUGGGCACGACCGCAAUCUAAAUUGUAAGUAUCAACAGUUACUUUUGGGGCAUCAUUUUUUACAUGUUUCCUCCUGCCUUUGAGAGACUGCUUUUUAUAUCACCACAGCUUCUCCAGAUAAAGCACAGAAUGGCUGUUUCACAACAUGGCAUUCAUGUUGUGAAAGUACAGUGCUCACAAUUGCGGGGAGAUUGUAGAAAAUGCCCUGGGCUUUGGAAUUUAGACUCCUAAAAAUAAGGAUUCAUUUGGUAAAAGGAAAAGCCUACUUUAUUUUAUCCAGUGUUGAAAAAGAUCUUUCAAAUUGCAUCGGACAACCAGCUGAUCAGAUAAGGAACAAGAUGAUCACAGCAACAGAAGUGUUUUAAAAGAGAAAAUGAAGAAUAAUGUCUCCAGCUGGAACUAGGCAGUAAUUACCUGGAGCAGAAAGUGGCCAAGGUAUGGGCAAGCACUUCUCAAGAAAGAGAAAGAAAG